rnacentral:rRNA from 1 species
GAUGAACGCUGGCGGCGUGCCUAAUACAUGCAAGUCGAGCGAAGCGGGGACGGGUGAGUAACACGUGGAUAACCUCCUAUAAGACUGGGAUAACUUCGGGAAACCGGAGCUAAACCGGAUAAUUAUAGAUGGAUCCGCGCGGCAGUAGCUAGUUGGUAAGGUAACGGCUUACCAAGGCAACGAUGCAUAGCCGACCUGAGAGGGUGUUCGGCCACACUGGAACUGAGAGACGGUCCAGACGCCUACGGGAGGCAGCAGUAGGGAAUCUUAGGAAAUGGGCGAAAGCCUGACUGAGCAACGCCGCGUGAGUGAUGAAGGUCUUCGGAUCGUAAAACUCUGUUAUUAGGGAAGCGGUACCUAAUCAGAAAGCCACGGCUAACUACGUGCCAGCCGCCGCGGUAAUAC